AGUUUGAUCAUGGCUCAGAUUGAACGCUGGCGGCAGGCCUAACACAUGCAAGUCGAGCGGUAGAGAGAAGCUUGCUUCUCUUGAGAGCGGCGGACGGGUGAGUAAUACCUAGGAAUCUGCCUGAUAGUGGGGGAUAACGUUCGGAAACGGACGCUAAUACCGCAUACGCCCUACGGGAGAAAGCAGGGGACCUUCGGGCCUUGCGCUAUAAGAUGAGCCUAGGUCGGAUUAGCUAGUUGGUGAGGUAAUGGCUCACCAAGGCUACGAUCCGUAACUGGUCUGAGAGGAUGAUCAGUCACACUGGAACUGAGACACGGUCCAGACUCCUACGGGAGGCAGCAGUGGGGAAUAUUGGACAAUGGGCGAAAGCCUGAUCCAGCCAUGCCGCGUGUGUGAAGAAGGUCUUCGGAUUGUAAAGCACUUUAAGUUGGGAGGAAGGGCAUUAACCUAAUACGUUAGUGUCUUGACGUUACCGACAGAAUAAGCACCGGCUAACUCUGUG
rnacentral:rRNA from 1 species